rnacentral:rRNA from 1 species
UACGGAGGGUGCGAGCGUUGUCCGGAAUCAUUGGGCGUAAAGGGCGCGUAGGUGGCCCGGUCAGUUCGUGGUGAAAGCGCGGGGCUCAACCCUGCGUCGGCCAUGAAUACUGCCGCGGCUGGAGCACUGUAGAGGCAGGCGGAAUUCCGGGUGUAGCGGUGGAAUGCGUAGAGAUCGGAAGGAACACCAAUGGCGAAGGCAGCUUGCUGGGCCACACCUGACACUGAGGUACGAAAGCGUGGGGAGCGAACAGG